AUUGAACGCUGGCGGCAGGCCUAACACAUGCAAGUCGAGCGGAUGAAGGGAGCUUGCUCCUGGAUUCAGCGGCGGACGGGUGAGUAAUGCCUAGGAAUCUGCCUGGUAGUGGGGGAUAACGUCCGGAAACGGGCGCUAAUACCGCAUACGUCCUGAGGGAGAAAGUGGGGGAUCUUCGGACCUCACGCUAUCAGAUGAGCCUAGGUCGGAUUAGCUAGUUGGUGGGGUAAAGGCCUACCAAGGCGACGAUCCGUAACUGGUCUGAGAGGAUGAUCAGUCAAACGGGGAGUGAGAAGCGAUAAUGAGUCCAACGGUGUGCCAGAGAGGGGAAUAUUGGACAGAAGGCGAAAGGAUGAUAAAGCCAUGCCGCUUGUGUGAAGAAGGUCUUCGGAUUGUAAUGCACUUUAAGUCGUUACGAAGAGCAGUAACUCAAUACCUUGCUGUUCUGACGUUCCCGGCAGAAUAAGCAACGGCUAACUUCAUC
rnacentral:rRNA from 1 species